AUCAUUACACAAUAACCAGGCGGGCUGGACACCCCCCGCUGGGCACUGCUUCACGGCGUGCGCGGCGGGGCCGGCCCUGCUGAAUUAUUCACCCGUGUCUUUUGCGUACUUCUUGUUUCCUGGGUGGGCUCGCCCGCCCUCAGGACCAACCACAAACCUUUUGCAAUAGCAAUCAGCGUCAGUAACAACGUAAUUAAUUACAACUUUCAACAACGGAUCUCUUGGUUCUGGCAUCGAUGAAGAACGCAGCGAAAUGCGAUACGUAGUGUGAAUUGCAGAAUUCAGUGAAUCAUCGAAUCUUUGAACGCACAUUGCGCCCUUUGGUAUUCCAAAGGGCAUGCCUGUUCGAGCGUCAUUUGUACCCUCAAGCUUUGCUUGGUGUUGGGCGUCUUUUGUCUCCAGUUCGCUGGAGACUCGCCUUAAAGUCAUUGGCAGCCGGCCUACUGGUUUCGGAGCGCAGCACAAGUCGCGCUCUUCGCCAGCCAAGGUCAGCGUCCAGCAAGCCUUUUUUUCAACCUUUGA
rnacentral:rRNA from 1 species